rnacentral:lncRNA from 1 species
UGAAAAGCGGAUUAAAGCCGUUGCAUCGCCGCUCCGCGAUUGACGUCGUGGCGCGACAAAGAGACCGAGCUCCUCAUCGCGGGUGAUCCAGCUUGAACUGUUUAAAUAUUGCGAGCAAGCGACUAACUUUAUACGUUAUUGUGAACGUUUAAUUGUAAUGAACAGCCGUCGUCGAACGAGCACGUAAGGAUUGAGAGCAGCGGUGCGCUGAAACGUUCGCGACGAGUUGGAGACAAUAAAAAGGGUGUUUGUGAGGUUAUCCGGACAUUGUGAAUUUCAUUCGAACCUCCUCUAGCGAUUCCCCGAUAAUCGCGGCACGCGCAUUUGCGGGCUCAGCGCUGAGUCGUUCCACUCGGUGCAUCUCAGAGACGUUUGGCGGACAAACGGAGUACGCGCUUGCACACUUAGAGUUCAUAAAAUAAUGGCAAAUAAUAUAUCAAAUCCCAACAGUUUAGCAAAUCAAUAUUUUUCAACGAACUACUCGGGAACAACGAAGUUGCAAGCAAUAUUUGUCUUGACGUUGAUUAUUCUUCACAAUUUCUAAACCCAGAGAUACAUUUGAUACAAGAAUAUCCAAAAAUAAUAACAGAAUUACGAGAGCAAAUUAGAUUUGGCGAAAUAGCAUCACAUUUCCGAUUCGAUACAGAAUAUCAUAACGCAAGAUGUAUCAUUAACAAUUGCCACCUUAAUAUAUUUUAUGGAAUAAAUAAUUUUUGAGAUCAUAUAUUCAACCAUCAUAAUAUUAAAAGAGAAAUUCUUCAAACCGCGUUAAAAUGCAAACUUGAAGAAUGCAUAAUCAAUACGUACGGUGCAGUAAAUCGGUCAAAAGACCAUUUACGCAAAUGCCAUUAUAUAUAUAAAAUAUAAUGCAAUUAAAAAAGAUGCCGAAAGGUGUAUAAAGUAAAAGGGACAACAAGGACAACAGAGACAGUUUUUAUUUUUAACAAUGGAGCACCAUCAGUGCAUUAAGCAAGAAAAGCAACAAUAUCAUCUUCAAUCUGUAUAAAAUAUAUUUCAUGUGAAAUUUUUCAACUAUUGUGACGACAGUUCGCUCUUUCUGGAUUACUGUGCAACGAAAAGUGACUUUCCAAUUAAACAUCGACUUUUUAAUGACAAUUAUAACAUUUAUUAAUUAUUUUAUUGAUUGUAUUUAAUCAUUAGCAUAAAGUAUUCAAUUUUUUUUAUAUUUGACGUAUUCACUCUUUUACGUAUUUUAUAUAAUUUAUGUAUAUUUUUUCAAGUUACAAUUAUCUACAACUAAAUAAUGCAUACAAUAUUUAUAUUAAAUUUUAAAUAAUUAAUAUUUAUUUGAACAAAUUAGAGGUUUAAAUUGAAUUUGAUUAAUUUAAAUGUUAACAGUCAAAACAGAAAUUGUAAAUUUAUUAAUUUGUAUUCUGACUGUGUGACCACUAUACAAGAAAAGUUAAUAUAAAUCUAGGUAGUAAGUUAGAUCAAUUUGACAUCAAAAUGUCAAAUAUAUCAUUUCGAUGUUAAAAUGAUAAAUAACAUCGUCUGGAAUAAAGAAUGAUGUUAUGAUUUCAUUUAAAAGAACUAAAAGAGUAUUUGAAUGAAUAAAUUAACAUGAUUUUUUCUCUCUUAAUUCAAAUAUUGAUAUAUUAAAAUCAUGACAUUACAUUUACCGAUUUAAUUUGUAUAUAUAUUUUUUUUAUUUUAUUUUACAGAAGAAAAAUAGUUUGUGUUUAAAAAAAUAGGUUGUAGUAUUUAAACAUCGAUAUAGAAAUAAUAUUUAAAUAUACCUAAUUGUAUAGAUAUAAAUAUAUAUAUUUACUUCUAUAUUAAUUGUUGUAUAUAUAUUAAUAUUUAAUUAUUAUUACUGUUAUAAUCAAAAAUAUAUGCAUAAUUACGUCAUUAAAUAUAUACUUGGAGUACCCAAAAAAAUUUGCAAGCUACAGUAUAUGAAAAAGUAUUAUAAAAAAUAAUUAUUAAAUAUAUAAUAUCUAAUAACUUACAGUACUAUACGAAAUAUGAUGUUUUGUUUUAUCAAUUUAUAUUCAAACUUGUUUAAUUCAAAAUUUUUGACUCACAUUUAUGCAGUACUGUCCUACAAAUAUAAUUUAAAUAUACACAUAAUGC